rnacentral:ncRNA from 1 species
GGAUCGUCAGCGAGUGACACCGGACGAGGAGCGACGUACCCGGCCAGCGACAAGACGGCGCAUG